CUACGGGCGGCACCAGUGAGGAAUAUUGCACAAUGGGGGGAACCCUGAUGCAGCAACGCCGCGUGGAGGAUGACGCAUUUCGGUGUGUAAACUCCUUUUAUAUGUCAAGAAAAUGACGGUAGCAUAUGAAUAAGCACCGGCUAACUCCGUGCCAGCAGCUGCGGUAAUACGGAGGGUGCAAGCGUUACUCGGAAUCACUGGGCGUAAAGGACGCGUAGGCGGGUUGGAAAGUCAGGUGUGAAAUCCUACAGUUUAACUGUAGAACUGCACUUGAAACUUCUAAUCUAGAGUAUGGGAGGGGGAGAUGGAAUUAGUGGUGUAGGGGUAAAAUCCGUAGAUAUCACUAGGAAUACCUAAAGCGAAGGCGAUCUCCUGGAACAUUACUGACGCUAAGGCGUGAAAGCGUGGGGAGCAAACAGGAUUAGAUACCCCGGUAGUC
rnacentral:rRNA from 1 species